rnacentral:misc_RNA from 1 species
CCGCCGUGCCCAAUCGCUUGCGCGCACCGUGCGCGCUCCCCGACUCCCUACCCUCUACAUCGCAUUGCCUCGCUUUUGCUCACCGUGCCAUGUCCGUUGACCGUGUGGCGAGGUGCGCGCACCUGCACAAGGGCGGUGCGCGAUCUGUGGCGCGUGUGUGCGCUGAUGGAAAAGGCUGCGGUCAAGUGGCACUCCUCCGCCGGCUGUCAUGCGCUGGGAGCCCCAUGGCUGCGCAGCCUGGACGUGUCUGCGUCUCGGCGGAGCUGAGCCAACGAUACUGUUGUGCCGUGGGUCACCGCAUCACGGCUGCGACAAGAGGUGAGGUGCCUCUGCCCGCAUCUUUUACAGGGUCGCAGCAGCCUACCGUGGAGGAUCUCUUUGCGAGCCGCUUCGGCACGACCACGUUUGGCCACCGUCGGGGCACCUCCGCCACCGAUGCGCCACCGCCUGCCUCGCCAAGCGCAGGCGUGGACGCGCUCUUCACGGAACGGUUUCCUGCUCUGACAGCACAGGGUACAGCGGAGAGGAUGCACGAAGUGGCCGCGUCUCACGUUACCACGAAGACACAGUCAGCGAUGUGGGAUGGUCUUCGGCGGUGCUUCAAAUUUCGCGGCCGCCUACCUUCGGCCCGCAUCAAUAACAGCAUGGGUGACAGGCCGUCGCCGGCGCAACCGCCUGCCCGCUUCUCUUCGCAGUACCCGCCCGUCGCCAACGAAGCCUCGGGGCUUUCAGCGUCUAGGCACCAGCCUCCGCCGCCUGAGGUGCAGCGCUACUGGCACAGCUACCAGCUGUGGGUAUCCCUGCAGCCGCACAUCCAGCAGGAGCAGCAGGCAGUACUGCAGCUGCGUGCACAGGCACAUGCAGCCAAGAUCGCGCAGCAGAAGUCCCUGCGGCAGCACCUGCACCGCACCAUGUACUGGACUCUGUUUGUAGUGUGCCCGCUGCUGGGACUGCUGUUCCUGUGGCUGGCCAUCGACGCCGCUGCGUACGGGGCGGAGCUGGAGCUACUGCCCUUUGUGAAGUACGACGAGGCGCUGCGGGACUUUGCCGAGGCGGAGGGCCGCCAUCGCCAGUUCAUCCGCGGCAAGGGCAACAACGGCGUAGCGAAGAAGAAAAACAUACGCAUCGACUAAGCGACGUGGGCAUGCGGGGCCGCUCUUGUUCUGCACACACACACACACACACACACACACCUCACUCGGCCGCACUCGUAAAACUCUGGAAGGCCUCUCGCGCGAGCCUGUGCAUGACGGUUACGUGUUGUACUUCAUCUUCACAAGCAGCCAGCCGGAAAGCCGAAGGAAAGCGGAACGAGCGAUGGAAAGUGCGAGCGUGCGGAGUGAUCGGGCGCCUCUCUUGCUUCAUCUCCCUUAUCGCUGUGCCGCGCCCCCGCCCUCUUCCCUAGCCCAAGCCAUGAACUCCGCGCCUCACUUGCCGGCCGCGGCAGCUGACAACCCAGGUGAGGGCACCGUUCUCGCUGCCUUCUGGUAGGCGGGUAUGAGGCGGACAGCGGCGACAGGGCGGAAGAUACCACCCCGACUCGUGCACUUCUGGCCUCUCUCGCAUGCGGCAGAUGUGUCCACGCGUGCAGAACACAACACAGACAACUUUGGCUCAGCAGCAGCCUCGUCCAUGUUGUGCGUCCGUGUCUUCGUUCUUCUCUCUGUG